GGCAGCACUCACCAUGGGCUGGACCCUCCCCCAUUGAUCACUAAAUGAGAAAAUGCCUUACAGUUGGAUCUCAAGGAGCUUUUCCUCAGCUAAGACCCCUUCCUCUGAUGACUCUAGUUUGUGGAAAGUUGACACAGAACCAUUUAGUACAAAGUCAGUUAUGUCUCAGAUACUAACAAUAUCCAGUUGUCCUGAUUAGUUUUUUGUCAACUUGAUAGGAGCUGGAGUCAUUUGGAAGAGGAAACACAAUUGAGAAAAUACCCACAAAGAUUGGCCUGUAGGACUGACGUUGACGUCAUCAGUGUCAUAGAAUUUCUUCACAGCCUGUUUGCUCUGGUGCCUGUUGGCCUUGCCGUCCCAUCGAGCACACCUGACUUGUCGCCUGUCUCUUCAGGGCUGACUCAGUGGUCAGGGGACACGUGAUAACAGCACACUGGUCAGCCUUGUUGCUCCUGGAAAUGCUCUUGAGAAGGUUUUCGAGCCACUUCAAGAGCCUCGGGGUCUUGGGCUGGGGGGUGGGCGACUAAGGGAUCUUCUUUCGUGCUUGGUUGUGGACGCCGUUCAGCACUCACUGCCUUCUCUGUUUUCAGAGCCUUUGCUUGGGCUUUGGCCAUGGGAGGGCAGGAGCCCUUCUUCACUUUCAGCUCCGUCUUUCAAAAGCUAGAAUGUGAUUUCGAUUCAUUUGGAUGAUUUUAUUCUA